rnacentral:rRNA from 1 species
GACGAACGCUGGCGGCGUGCUUAACACAUGCAAGUCGAACGCUGAAGCUCCAGCUUGCUGGGGUGGAUGAGUGGCGAACGGGUGAGUAACACGUGAGUAACCUGCCCUCCACUUCGGGAUAAGCACUGGAAACGGUGUCUAAUACUGGAUGUGACAUCAGCCUGCAUGGGUUGGUGUGGAAAGAUUUUUUGGUGGUGGAUGGACUCGCGGCCUAUCAGCUUGUUGGUGGGGUAAUGGCCUACCAAGGCGACGACGGGUAGCCGGCCUGAGAGGGUGACCGGCCACACUGGGACUGAGACACGGCCCAGACUCCUACGGGAGGCAGCAGUGGGGAAUAUUGCACAAUGGGCGAAAGCCUGAUGCAGCGACGCCGCGUGAGGGAUGACGGCCUUCGGGUUGUAAACCUCUUUCAGCCUUGACGAAGCCCUUUUGGGGUGACGGUAGGGGCAGAAGAAGCACCGGCUAACUACGUGCCAGCCGCCGCCGUAAAAC